rnacentral:tRNA from 1 species
GCUAAAGUAAACUAAAUAGGUUAUUGGGUUCAUACCCCGGGUGAAGAAUGUAUUUCUCUUUAGCU